AGGAAGCUGGCGGCUGUCUUUAGAAACAGUGUGUAUAUUCAACACAACAGAUCUCCACACAAAAUAUUGAUUUCAACUCUGGACCAUAUUUGCAGGCAGUAUUUCACAUGACUAUCAUCAAGGUAUUCCAGACUUGUAUAAAAUGACAGAUGUCAUCACGAAAGAGAAAAAAAAAAAGCAUAAAAAAAGAAGGAAAACAACGAAAAUAACCAUCACCAUUGAAAACAAUCCAAAAACAAGAACUACAAAUGCAUAUAAAUAAAAAAAAAACUAAAAUAAAAGAAAAAGCAAAAAGAAAAAGAAAAGCAAAGAAAAUAUACAGUAAAAGCAAUAAUUCAGAAUAUUAAUUACAAACAUAAAAUAAUAUAUUAAAAAAUAACAAAAAGGAGCAGUGACAUACUUAUAUACAGAUAGACAUAUUGUAAGCGUGUUGAAUGAAAUGACUAAAAUAUGAAUAUAGGAGCUUAAUAGCAAGGGACUUGUUAUCAGAUGACGUGGAGAGUAGUUGUUUAGCUCCAACUCAAGGUUGGCCAAGUAGAGCUAUGAUCAAUGGUAUCCUUACCCUCCCAACACGACCACUAUAUUUGAUGUAUCAUUAACUACAUUGUGCCUACGAUGUCCAAUGUGUCCUUCCUUAAUUUUUUUUGAAGAUGGUAGUUUGACUAAUUUGAGGGAGAUUUUGGCUGUUACUCCUAGCGUGUCGAGCGACCACAGAGAGGCUCCUUUGUCUUGUUCAAAUUCGCCCCAUCCAUUCACUAGCGUAAAUGAAAGUUCUCCUUUGAGUGACGAAUUGUUAUUUCUAGCGGACCAUGUGUCCACAUAAAAACUGUGUUGUGGUGGCAAGUUUAAAUGCUUUUUCCUUGUUCAGUGUUGUUAACAUUUCAAUUAAAAUCAAUAUCCACGGAUGUUAUCUUGUAUCGAACUCAAGAUCCUCAAAACACUUAUUGGGCAGCACAGAUCAAUAUUGGUUUCUAAUUUUGAAGACAAAACCAGCAGGUUUGAGGGAGGGAAUAAGUGGAUUAUAUCGCUCCAGCACGCAAUUGGUACUUAUUUUAUCGAUUCCAAAAGGAUGAAAGGCAAAGUCAACCCCGGUGGAAUUUGAACUCUGAACGUAAAGACAGAUGAAAUGCUGCGAAGCAUUUUGCUCGGGUCUGCCAGCUCGCCGCCUUAGUACUGAUCAAUAUUAAAUAUGCUUUCUUUUUAUCUUAUGAUAAAUUUGUAAACAAAGUUUGGUGGUGGAGAAAGAAUUGGUUACCUCCAAUUGGCUGAAGAUCUGGCUGUUGUUUCUAGCAGGUCGAGAAGCCACAUAACUAUUUCUUGUGCGUUGGAGAUCAGAUGGUAUGUCAGCAAUCUAGGCAUAUGAUUAGCUAAAAUUACAUUAAGUAAAAUACUUGUAAGGUCUUUAUUAUUAACUUGAAAUAAAUGAAUGUAAUUUUCGUCAUCUGCAAAAUAA